AUGGAAGGAGUAGGGAAGUUGAUGAGUAGGCUCAAGCUUUCGGAAGAGGAGAAGAAGGUAGUCAAGAUCCGCGAGUUGGCAAAGGAGAAGGGGAAGAACACAGAUCCGUGGGCAAUUGACAAGCUCUUGUCCAAGAAACCAGCACAUCCAGAUGCGAUCUCUCUAUCCCUGGGGCACGUUUGGUGUCCAAUCAAGGGGAUCGACUGUACGGAGGUAGGAGAUAACGUUUUCAUGUUCACCUUUAAGCAAGAGUCGGGGAAGAGAAAGGCACUGGAAGAUGGGCCGUGAAUGUUCGAUAAGGAGUUGAUGGUGGUGGAGAAUUAUGAUCCUAGCAAGCGUAUUGAGGACUAUGAGUUUAAUGAUAUACCCAUCUGGGUGCGCAUUUUCAGUCUUCCUUUGGGCAUGAUGAACGAGGAAGCGACAGAA
rnacentral:rRNA from 1 species